GACGAACGCUGGCGGCGUGCUUAACACAUGCAAGUCGAACGGAAAGGCCCUGCUUUUGUGGGGUGCUCGAGUGGCGAACGGGUGAGUAACACGUGAGUAACCUGCCCUUGACUUUGGGAUAACUUCAGGAAACUGGGGCUAAUACCGGAUAGGAGCUCCUGCUGCAUGGUGGGGGUUGGAAAGUUUCGGCGGUUGGGGAUGGACUCGCGGCUUAUCAGCUUGUUGGUGGGGUAGUGGCUUACCAAGGCUUUGACGGGUAGCCGGCCUGAGAGGGUGACCGGCCACAUUGGGACUGAGAUACGGCCCAGACUCCUACGGGAGGCAGCAGUGGGGAAUAUUGCACAAUGGGAGGAAGCCUGAGGCAGCAACGCCGCGUGCGGGAUGACGGCCUUCGGGUUGUAAACCGCUUUCGCCUGUGACGAAGCGUGAGUGACGGUAAUGGGUAAAGAAGCACCGGCUAACUACGUG
rnacentral:rRNA from 1 species